rnacentral:rRNA from 1 species
GACGAACGCUGGCGGCGUGCUUAACACAUGCAAGUCGAACGGGUCUGCCCUGUUUUUUGCGGGGUGGGUCAGUGGCGAACGGGUGAGUGACACGUGAGUAACCUGCCCCUCACUUCUGGAUAACCGCUUGAAAGGGUGGCUAAUACGGGGUGUUCUGGCUGUGCCGCAUGGUGUGGCUGGGAAAGAUUCACUUUUGUGGUGUUUUGGUGGGGGAUGGGCUCGCGGCCUAUCAGCUUGUUGGUGGGGUGAUGGCCUGCCAAGGCUUUGACGGGUAGCCGGCCUGAGAGGGUGGGCGGUCACACUGGGACUGAGAUACGGCCCAGACUCCUGCGGGAGGCAGCAGUGGGGGGUAUUGCACAAUGGGCGGAAGCCUGAUGCAGCGACGUCGCGUGAGGGAUGGAGGCCUUCGGGUUGUGAACCUCUUUCGCCGGUGAAGAAGGUCCUGCUCUUUGUGGUGGGGUUGACGGUAGCCGGGUUAUGAAGCGCCGGCUAACUACGUG